ACGGAGGGUGCAAGCGUUGUUCGGAAUUAUUGGGCGUAAAGCGCGUGUAGGCGGUCUGUUAAGUCUGGUGUGAAAGCCCCGGGCUCAACCCGGGAAGUGCAUUGGAUACUGACAGACUUGAGUACGGGAGAGGAGAGUGGAAUUCCCAGUGUAGGGGUGAAAUCCGUAGAUAUUGGGAGGAACACCGGUGGCGAAGGCGGCUCUCUGGACCGAUACUGACGCUGAGGGGCGAAAGCGUGGGGAGCAAACAGGA
rnacentral:rRNA from 1 species